UCCUACGGGGCGCAGCAGUGGGGAAUAUUGCACAAUGGGGGAAACCCUGAUGCAGCGACGCCGCGUGAGUGAAGAAGUAAUUCGUUAUGUAAAGCUCUAUCAGCAGGGAAGAAAAUGACGGUACCUGAGUAAGAAGCCCCGGCUAACUACGUGCCAGCAGCCGCGGUAAUACGUAGGGGGCAAGCGUUAUCCGGAUUUACUGGGUGUAAAGGGAGCGUAGACGGUUAUGUAAGUCUGGAGUGAAAGCCCGCGGCCCAACCCCGGGACUGCUUUGGAAGCUGUGU
rnacentral:rRNA from 1 species